UUUUUUUUUUUAAAUGAAACAAACAAAUGUAUGGUGAUUUUGUAUUGUUUAGGAGUAACCCUACAGAAAGAAUAGGACACCCUUAAAUAUCUAAAGAUUGUCUGCUAUCAAGAUUUUCAUAAAUGGAGAGGUUCUCUAAAUCAAUCAAAUUACAAGUAGAAAUUUUACAGAUAGGGGUCUAAAAGGUUAUUUUAAAUAACUCCAUUAUAUAUUUUUAAAUUACUAAACAAAUUUAUGUUCAUUAUAAAUUCCACAACUGGGAAAAAUCCCUUUGAAAUGGCCUAUUAUUUUUCUUUCCUUUGAGUACUCAGUUCCUGAAUUAUCAUGACGACCUCUCAAGACACUUUUGCCUUCUGCAAGUUUAGGAUGUGAGGGUGGGCUCCGCUCUGCCAGCCUACAGAGCAGACCACACAGGACAUGCAGAGUCCCUUCCCCCUGAGCAACAUAGGAGGGUUGCUGCCCUCAGUUGCUGCACUGCUCUGUUCCCUGAACCUGCAACAGGGCAAGACCAGCUGCCAAGCAACUGGAGCGGGAAGUCAGGUAUGAGCAGCAACCCUGUGGUCUGGGUUGGGACACAGCUGCUUCAUGGACAUCCAAGAAAGCUCACUGUUAGAAGCAUCCUUAUACAUGCAAAGGAAGAAAGAAUGAAUUCUCUCAUCUAACCUUGGGAGGUAAAUUGCCUUUUUCUGGCACUUGAAGUGAAAUCUCAUACACUUUGUAAGAUGCUUGAUUUCAAAUGUGCAUUUGAAAAGCAAUUACCCUUUUAAAAAAGAUUCCCAGAUCCCCCAACCCCAUGAGUAGAACCAUAAUAAAAAACACUGCUAAACAUAAUGACCCCUCCAUGUGCUGUGUUUGCUUACUGUGUCUCUGUUGAUAGACUGUUUUGCCUGUGGCACAUUUAUUUUUACACCGCACGGGAAAUGAAAUAAAUAUAUUAGUGAUUUCUUAUCAAAUGGCAUUUUACACUGUGUGCUUUUUUUCAAAUAUAAAAUCAAAAACCUUUCCAAGAGUAGAAAUUUGACAUAACUCAAAUAAAAAAUGGUUUCCUUCAUUCAGACAGCAGCAGGAUGUAUAAGAUUAUAACUUUCACAUCAAAGAUUGGCUUCGUGCACUCUUGAUCAACAAUGGAAGGACAAGGACAUUGUUCAAUUACAUAAAUCAUCCCUCAGAAUUUAUGAGUUAAUAAAAGCUGAAAACAUAGAUUCAUAAAAGAGAGAUUUUAUGAAGUAGCAUUCAAAAAUCAUUUCAGUUAAUUUCUCACAAAUAUUAGAAACAAAAAGGGUGACUGAAAGACUUUAACUUCUCCUUAUUCAGUUAUCAAAACACCAUAUUUACUUAACCCAGGUCUCUUUAUCUCAGUGAUAAAAGCAACAAUUAAAAAAAAAAAAAACCCUGUUGCAUUCAUGAAACAAAAUUUUGACAUCUGAUUUCAUUAAGAACUUGGCCAAUCUUUUCUGGGAAAUACUACCUAGGGUAAACUUUUCCUCCUUUAUCUGUCAUUGCUUUAAAGUCUUGCUGCUUUCUCAAGGUCCUACUGACCAGGUAUAGUUGCAUAACUUCUUUUUUUAAUAAAUUCGUACUCUUUCUCAAACUGAAGACGAGUUCCAUCUACACAACUUCUUACAAUCAGUGCUGCAAUUUCCAUGUGCAAGGACUUCUUGGAAAAAAUAUAAUGAAAGUUUCCACAUCACUUUCCACAGAACAGAAAGUUCCAGAGUGGAAUAGUAACAAAAACCAUCUCAGAUUUCCUCUGAAUAAGAAAAAGUCCAGCACUAAAAUGAAUAAAACAGGACAAAAAUUUAGAAAGAAAAAUGUCAGAGUGUAAUUAGGGCUUUGGCGUUACUCUGAGUGAUAAGUGGAAUGAGUAGAGGAAUGGAAGAAAGACAUGAAUUCUUGUUUACACAGUCACUUAGACUGCAGUGCUGAGAACGUCACAUGGUUGGAAAUUGAACAAAUAUCCAAGGGAAGGAUGACUGGCUUGGAACAGAGAGGUGGUCCAAGAAGAAACGAGGCAUAGUUGGAUUCUGGAUAUAUUUUGAAGGUACAGCCAAUGUGAAAUCUUGAUGGAUUGAAUGUGGAGUGAAGAGAAAUAGAGUUGCCAAAGAUGAGUUGUUUGGUUCAACAACUAGAAGAGGAAAAUCCCACUAAUUGAAAUGGAGGUGGGAGGCUGUGGGGGUAGUGGGAUCCGGAAGCAAAUAAUAGGAUAUCCUCUUUGAUAUGCCAGGUCUAGUUAUAAAUAUUAAAAAUCACUCUAAGAAUACUGUAAUGAUACAAUAUUUCUAAAUCAAAAAAACAUAUAAAACCAAAUUCAUACUGAGUGAAGUAAGUCUGAAAGAGAAAGACAAAUACCAUAUGAUAUCACUUAUAUCUGGAAUCUAAUAUAUAGCAUAAAUGAACCUUUCCACAGAAAAGAAAAUCAUGGACUGGGAGAAUAGACUUGUAGUUGCCAAGGGCUAGCGGGAGGGAGUGGGAUGGACUGGGAGCUUGGGGUUAAUAGAUGCAAACUAUUGCCUUUGCAAUAGAUUAGCAAUGAGAUACCACUGUGUAGCACUGGGAACUAUGUCUAGUCACUUAUGAUGGAGCACGAUAAUAUAAGAAAAAAGAAUGUAUACAUGUAUGUGUAACUGGGUCACCAUGCUGUACAGUAGAAAAAAAAUUGUAUUGGGGAAAUAACAAUUAAAAAAAAAAAAAAAACCAAAUGUGCAAAUGGGCAGCAUAACUCAAAGGGUGUUUAAGAUAUGCAUGUCAAAAACAGCAUUUCCGUCAUGGCUCAGUGGAACCAUGAGGUUUCGGGUUCGAUCCCUGGCCUUGCUCAGUGGGUUAAGGAUCCAGCAUUGCCGUGAGCUGCGGUGUAGGUCGCAGACAUGGCUCAGAUCCUGUGUUGCUGUGGCUGUGGUGUAGGUGGGCAGCUGUAGCUCUGAUUCGACCCCUAGCCUGGGAACCUCCAUAUGCCACAAGUGCGGCUCUAAAAAAGCAAA
rnacentral:lncRNA from 1 species